UAAAAUAAAUAAAUAUAAUAAUAAUAACUGGAGCAUCGCGUGCGGAGGAUAGUGGAAAGGCAAAGAGAAAAGUAGUUCGUAUCGUAUAUUUGCCUGGCCAUAAUCAGCAGCAGUACCUGGGCUGGGGUUUGUAUGCAAUUGUUGGCUUUACAUAUUUCGUGAGAGAAUCAAGGGUUCGUGUGCGAUAUGGGGACGAACGCAGAGUAAUAAGACUCUUGGCAUCUGUCGAGGUCAUCUACAAGGAUUUUUUUUCAAUCAUUCUGGAUGAUCUCGAAGAUGCUCAAGGGUCUGUUAUUUUGCAGGCAGAUUUGGAGGUGUUUAUUUCUAUGAAGCCAUUGUUUCUAUUCAACAGGUUUGAUUGCCAGAUUUGAACUGUAUCAGAUAUGUAAAUGCUUGUUCUGUGUUUGUUGUAAUUUUUACUAUUUUUUAAUUCUGAUAUGCUUCAGAUGAUUGUGGAUGAUAUUCUCCAGGAAUUAAUAAUAGAAGUGGUGUUCUUUGGAGUUCAUCUUUGUUUAUGAGCUUUGGAGUUGCCAUUGUUUCCUCAGAUUUCGAUUUUAGAUUUGUGGGUCUGCUACUGUUUUCUCACAUCAAAUGUGCUAGUUUUAUUUGUUGCAAAGUUUUAGGUGAAUACAGACAGAAUGCUUUGUCAGUUGUGGCCUCAUCAUCGUCUCUGUUACAGUAAUCGACUAAGCUAAAUGACAUUUUCUCGUACUUGGUAUGCCUUAGACUCUAGAUUUGGAGCGAUAUCUUUCCUGGGAUUUCAGGGCUUCAUCUGUGUUUUGACCUUGAGAUGAUUUACAUCAGGCUAUGCGGUAAAUCUUAUCAGAAAUUGAAGGUACAGGGUGGUUUGGGUAGUUUUUUAAUUUACUUUAAGCGUGUCUCCCUGGUGUACCCAUAACCCUCCUAAAUUUAAAGGGCAGUUACAUAUCCAUUAAUUUUAUAUAUUGUAAAACUGCUGUAUACAAUAUAGCACUCGUACAGUUUCGAAACUUCAACCUACACUUUGGAAUACACGAGCAUGUAAUCCGCAUGGACUGAUGGAAAUUAGUUUGUCUCGAUGUAGGAGACGGUGUGUUUUCACUGCCCAUGCUUGAUAGUACUUCUACAUAUAAUUAUAUGACUUAUUUUGGCAUCAACAUUCCUUGUCCAUUAUCAGAAUGAAGGAAGAAGAGGAAAAGCCGUCUGAAAGGAUGAUGCAAAAUACUGUAAGUUAAACUCAGAAAGCACUUUCUAGAAUUGAUGCUUUCACUUUGAAGUUUUUGCUUUUAGUUGCCAAACUACUACUACGUCAACAUAUACUUAAAGCUGUAAGACCUCAGUUACCACAGAGAGACGCUAGCUAAAUCUUUUUCAGCCGUUGUUUCUCACAAGUUUGAGGGGCUUUGGUAGUAAAUUUUAUGAUCAAAUGAAAUUUAAGGUAAUGUACAUCUAAAUAGGCAUGGAUUUUCCUGUAAUUUUUAUAAAAAAAUCUUCAAAUGGACAGAAGCCAUGAUCAGUCUAAUAAUAGAAGUAGUCUGUUAACUCAGACACAAUUAGAAGCUAGUUGUUCCCAGGGGAGCUUUAGAACACCGUGGAAGUUGCUUUUCAUGUUAAAUUGUACUUUGCUCCUACGUCAGAAGUACAAACAGUAGGCAACUCUAAAUCUUCUCUGUGGUCCUCUGAGAAUGAUAUCGCUUCUAUACUAGUACAAUGAAACAAAAAGCACUACCUCAAUAGCUUGGAGGAUGGGUGUGCAAUGUCUCCUUUUUUUUUUAUCUCAUGUGUUGACACAAUUAGAAGCCUGUUGCUCCCAUGGAGCUUUAGAUCACUGUAGAAUUUGCUUUUCAUGUUAAACUGUGCUUCACUUCUACGUCAGAAAUACAAGCAGUAGCAACUCUAAAUCUUCUCUAUGGUCCUCUGAGAAUGAUAGCGCUUCUAUACUAGUACUCCAACGAAACAGAAGGCACUACUUUGUUGCCUCAAUAGCUUGGAGGAUGGGUGUUCAAGGUCUCUUUUUUUCUCAUCUCAUGUGUUGACACAAUUAGAAGCCAGUCGCUCCCAUGGAGCUUUAGAACACUGUGGAAGUUUCUUUUUAUGUUAAACUGUACUUCAUUCCUAUGUCAGAAGUACAAACAGUAGGCGACUCUAAAUCUUCACUAUGGUCAAGAAUGAUAACGCUUCUAUAAUAAUAGUCCAAUGAAACAGAAAACACUUCUUUGUUGCCUCAAUAGCUUGCAGAAUGGGUGUUCGAGGUCGCCUUUUUUCUUAAGAUAAUUUGUUGAGCAGUAUUUAUCACUCUAUGUUUGGGUGGAGUGUCGGUUACUGUUUGAUAUAUACCUGUAACUAAAACUGGAUAUUUAGGUACCAUGCUGCUACUUAAAAAUUUUGUUGCAUUGUUUCUUGAAAAUUUUGAACUAAGCAUAGAAAUAAUUUGGAAGUUUCUAAUAAAAUGAGACUUUUAUGGUUUAGAGAUUGGCAUUAAUCUUCUGAAUAAACUGGAAGGCUGAAAUUAUGCCGUUACAUUUUAAGAACUGCAUAAAUUUUUCUUCUCCUUUUCUGUAUAAUUCAUUCUUAUCUUUCUACAAAAAUUUAGUUUUCUAAAUUUUAUAUGGCAAGAUGAAUUUUAAAAUUUUAAUAAUAGGAAUAUAAAAAUCAUGGGAUUACUCCCUGUGAAGGAAGAUACUAAAAAAAUUGAACAGUUCAUUCUUAUCUCUUUACACAAAUUUAGUUUUUCUAUAUAAUUCAUUCUUAUUUUUCUACACAAAUUUAGUUUUCUAAAAUUUAUAUGGCAAAAUGAAUUUUAAAAAUUUAUUGUACUUUUAAACUAACAGGAGUAUAAAAAUCAUGGGAUUACUUACUGUGAAGGAAGCUGCUCAAAAUUCUUAUCUUUCUACACGAAAUUAGUUUUUCUAUAUAAUUCAUUCUCAUCUUUCUACACAAAUUUAGUUUUCUAAAAUUUAUAUGGCAAAAUGAAUUUUAAAAAUUUAUUGUACUUUUAAACUAAUGGGAGUAUAAAAAAAAUGUGAAUGUUAAUUGUUAAAACUAAACAGACACGGGGCAUUGCUGUUAUUUUACCAUCUAUUCUGUUUCAAUCUGUUUAUGUUAAUUGUUAAAACUAAA